UCAAAAAUUGUAAAAAUAAUCUACGGAAAAAACAAUUUUGCUAUUGUAAUAUAUUUUCUCCCAAGCGGAUGUCCUGAGAAAAAAAAUCCAUCCGUAUGGUUAUUAUAGAACAAUUUAAGAGGAGGCAAAUAAAAUUGUUAAGGGCUAACACGUAUAAAUUAAGUAGAAAUCUGAUUUUUUUUCAUUCGCAUUGGUACCGUACGUGCACCAUGAACUUCACAAGGUUUUUCCUGAUUUUCGCAUUGGCUGUGCUGGCCAUCUUGGGCAACGCGUCUGCCCAAAGAGGUCGCGUUCUAAACCCAGGAAUGGGAAUGGGACUAAUAUCGGAGAAGGAAUCUGGGGAAACUGGCGCCCAGGAUAAAACCGAUGGCAAAGCCUGAUAUGGCCGGAAAUGGACCGAUUGUUAUUGUUAAUCCAGCAAAUUUUGUGUUUGCUUUUUAGAAAAAUAAACAGUUAUGCAUUUA